AUGGUAAACCAAAUGAUAAUCAAAAACACAAUAAUCCUCAAACAAUACACCGACGAUACCAUUCACCCACUGACUAAUAAUUCCCACUGUUACGAUAAAUAAUUUCGAAUAUUCAGUCUCAUCAUCGCGUACCCUCUCUUUUCUCACUCUCCAUUAUCGAAUGCAAUGUAGUGUAAUUCAUUUUCGAGUUUUGAAAUGAGACAGAAUACCAAUCGGGAAAAUUAUACGUAUUCAUCAAAUAGAACAACAACGUGCAAAAAGGCCACUUGACAUAAUGAUGUGGGGUAUAUUAUAUGAUGGUUGUUGAUAAAGAUAUGUACAACAACAACAAAAAUAGAGAUUAUGCUAAUGAUGAAUAACUGUCGAUGAUAGCAAUGAUAAAACAAAUGAGAAAUCCGUGAUAUA